GACGAACCGAGCGAACGUUGUUCGGAAUCACUGGGCUGAAAGGGCGCGUAGGCGGGCUGCCGCGUCCGGGGUGAAAUCCUCCGGCUUAACCGGGGAACGGCCUCGGAUACGGGCGGCCUCGAGGGGGGUAGGGGCAUGCGGAACUGUGAGUGGAGCGGUGAAAUGCGUUGAUAUUCACAGGAACUCCGGUGGCGAAGGCGGCGUGCUGGACCCCAUCUGACGCUGAGGCGCGAAAGCCAGGGGAGCAAACGGG
rnacentral:rRNA from 1 species